rnacentral:rRNA from 1 species
CCUACGGGAGACAGCAGUGAGGAAUAUUGGUCAAUGGGCGGAAGCCUGAACCAGCCAAGUAGCGUGCAGGAUGACGGCCCUACGGGUUGUAAACUGCUUUUAUACGGGAAUAACGCGCCUUACGUGUAGGGCUUUGCAUGUACCGUAUGAAUAAGGACCGGCUAAUUCCGUGCCAGCAGCCGCGGUAAUACGGAAGGUCCGGGCGUUAUCCGGAUUUAUUGGGGGUAAAGGGAGCGUAGGCCGCAUGUCAAGCGUGCUGUGAAAUGUCCGGGCUCAACCCGGGCCUUGCAGCGCGAACUGGCGUGCUUGAGUCCGCGGCACGCAGGCGGACUUCGUCGUGUAGCGGUGAAAUGCUUAGAUAUGACGAAGAACCCCGAUUGCGCGGGCAGCUUGCUGCAGCGGACCUGACGCUGCUGCUCGAACGCGCGGGUAUCGCACAGGAUUAGAUACCCUGGUAGUC